CCUGCCCCUAGAGAUAUUUUUAGGUGUGACUGCUGAGUCACCUGUGCAUCAGUAAAUGGCAGAAAGGAGAGAGGCGAUGUCUAAGAUCAGUGUUCCGACUUGUGAACAUCUGAAUUAUUAGUAACCUAACAUU